CGGGACGACCAGUAUCCAAUCUGGAACCAGUACAGGCGGUGCAUGGCUGUCGUCAGCUCGUGUCGUGAGAUGUUGGGUUAAGUCCCGCAACGAGCGCAACCCUUGCCCUUUGUUACCAGAGCGUAAGUUCUGGUUCCUGAGGGGACUGCCGCAGACAAUGCGGAGGAAGGUGGGGACGACGUCAAGUCCGCAUGCCCCUUAUGUCCUGGGCAACACACGUGCUACAAUGGUCGGUACAAAGGGUUGCCAAGCCGCGAGGUGGAGCUAAUCCCAUAAAACCGAUCGUAGUCCGGAUCGCAGUCUGCAACUCGACUGCGUGAAGUCGGAAUCGCUAGUAAUCGUGAAUCAGAAUGUCACGGUGAAUACGUUCCCGGGCCUU
rnacentral:rRNA from 1 species